GUGCUCCUGCCCGGCGGGGUUUCGGCUUCACCGCUAGCGCCGCCUCUCCCGCUCCUCUAGGCCUCGGGCGCUUCUGAGAGGGGAAAAGGCCGUUUUUCGGCCGCCUCUCCCCUCAGCCGCCGGGUCUUGGUGCCUCCUCCUCACCUGCGGCUUUAGUCGACCCCCUGUUUGGGCGACGUGCUUUGGCCGGCCCUUUUCCCACCUACCUUCCCUUCGGUCGCACAACAACCCCGCGAGGCAGAGGAUGGACCUUCCAGUGGAAAAAUGGCAGAUGCACGUCAGGCAGAAAUGGUCUUCCUUGGAGCCUUUCCUGAAGGAGAAGCUGAGCCAUCCCUCGUCUCUCAGGGCCGCCUUCCUCCUCGCUUCCUCCCUCCUUCGACCUGAAGAUGAGGAAUAUUUGCUCAGCCUCUCCAAGGACUUCUCCGUGAACAAGGAUCCUGGCCUGGUUCUCUCCUGCAAAGAGGAAGGGAAUGCAAGAUUUCGGAGAAAAGAGUAUCAAUCUGCCGCAACGCUAUAUU